UAGUCUAUUUAUUUUCAAAUUUCUUUCUACUCUAGUUCAUCCUCCACAUGUCCCUCAAAGUUAUUUUUCCUAAACUCAAGUGUAUUCAUGUCAUUCCAGUGAUUCCCUGUUACAUAUAGGAGUUGUCAACCUGUAAAAAACACUUCAGCACCCAAGCAGUUGUGUGAGGAAAGUUCUUCCCUUUUCCCCCUCUGGGUAACACAGCUGGCAUGCUUCUGCAUGAGACUACGUGAGUCUGUGUGAGUUUGCAUCACCAAGGCAGCCAACUGUGUGUCACAGGACUGUGACUCAGGCACCUGAUCCCAGAUAUGACUCUGAACUUGAACAGGAUGUGAAAGUGGCAUGGGACAUUGUACCCCCCCAAAUGAAAGAAGUGUUUCAGGACAAACUGUAAGCAGGAAAAUUCCUUUGCUUCCUUGCAUCCUUGUGACUAUUAACCCUAAAAUAUCUGAUAACUCCUGAUAAGACCCUGAGAGGAUUAUCCUCCUUGGAUGGUCCUUUAGGUUUUGAGAUGGACAUAGAGAUAUACCUCCAGGCUAUGCUUUGAUACCAUCAGUUAUAUCUAAGAUAUGUAUUGGAGACUCUGGGAACAAUGUCUCCAGUAAAAAAGACACCAGGAAUGGGAAUUUCCAUCAAACUGAAGAGUUGGGGGUUCUAUUUAUUCUUUAGAGAAUAUAAUCUGAAGAGGAAAAAAACUGACUGGUUAUGCAGGAGCUUGAGAAAGAGGAUGUAGCUUCAGCCAGGGAUACCCAGGAAAGGUCCAAAUACAAUAGGAGAAACUCAGAAGACAAAAAAGGGUUGUUAAGACUUGACCACCUCUACUACUCCUAUCCAGGGUACUCAAUGAGUGCUUCAUGGUCUAUUUUUCAGUCUGGAACAGAGGAUUCCAGGGAGUUUCUUCAAGACAAGUUCCUAUGGGACAAGGCAUUUUCAUUAUGUUGGAUAUCACUGAAAAGUACCAGCUUAUGUUCCUUGGAGGGAAGAAUAUGUGCUCCAACUUUCCACCAACAUAAGGGAAAUCAGGAAAUGGAAAAUAAAGCUGAUCACUUAACUUGAGUGUAAUU
rnacentral:lncRNA from 1 species